rnacentral:sRNA from 1 species
GUGCACCGCACGUAUACCCGGUUCCUCCGCGCCGUCCCCACCUGACGACCGCUCGCUAGGUUUUUCUGUUAGCC